rnacentral:rRNA from 1 species
GGCGAGCCUCACGAACGUUAUUCGGAAUUACUGGGCUUAAAGGGUGCGUAGGCGGCGCGGAAAGUAGGGUGUGAAAUCCCUCGGCUCAACCGAGGAACUGCGCUCUAAACUACCGUGCUUGAGGAAGACAGAGGUGAGCGGAACUUCGGGUGGAGCGGUGAAAUGCGUUGAUAUCCGAAGGAACACCGGUGGCGAAAGCGGCUCACUGGGUCUUUUCUGACGCUGAUGCACGAAAGCUAGGGGAGCAAACGGG